AAACCGCGAAUGGCUCAUUAUAACAGCUAUAAUUUACUUGAUCUUGACACAAUCCUACUUGGAUAACUGUGGUAAUUCUAGAGCUAAUACAUGCAUUAAAGCUCUGACCUCACGGGAAGAGUGCAUUUAUUAGAACAAAACCAAGCGGCUUCGGCUGUUUCUGGUUGACUCAUAGUAACUGAGCUGAUCGCAUGGUCUUGCACCGGCGACGUGUCUUUCAAGUAUCUGCCGUAUCAACUUUCGAUGGUAGUGUAUCUGACUACCAUGGUGAUCACGCGUAACGGAGAAUAAGGGUUCGGCUCCGGAGAGUUCGCCUGAGAAAUCGCGAACACAUCUAAGGAAGGCAGCAGGCGCGAAAAUUACCCACUCUCAGCACGAGGAGGUAGUGACGAAAAAUAACGAGACCGUUCUCUUAUGAGGCCGGUCAUCGGAAUGGGUACAAUUUAAACCCUUAACGAGUU
rnacentral:rRNA from 1 species